ACUCCUACGGGAGGCAGCAGUGGGGAAUCUUGGACAAUGGGCGCAAGCCUGAUCCAGCCAUGCCGCGUGAGUGAUGAAGGCCCUAGGGUCGUAAAGCUCUUUCGCCUGUGAAGAUAAUGACGGUAGCAGGUAAAGAAACCCCGGCUAACUCCGUGCCAGCAGCCGCGGUAAUACGGAGGGGGUUAGCGUUGUUCGGAAUUACUGGGGCGUAAAGCGCGCGUAGGCUGACUAUUAAGUCAGAGGUGAAAUCCCGGGGCUCAACCCCGGAACUGCCUUUGAUACUGGUAGUCUUGAGUUCGAGAGAGGUAAGUGGAAUUCCGAGUGUAGAGGUGAAAUUCGUAGAUAUCGGAGACACAGUGCGAGCGUCUACGUGCUCGAUACUGACGCUGAGGUGACG
rnacentral:rRNA from 1 species